CCUACGGGUGGCAGCAGUGAGGAAUAUUGGUCAAUGGGCGGAAGCCUGAACCAGCCAAGUAGCGUGCGGGAUGAAGGCCCUACGGGUUGUAAACUGCUUUUGUACGGGGAUAACAUGCUCCACUUGUGCCUGUCUGUAUGUACCUUGUGAAUAAGGGCCGGCUAAAUCCGUGCCAGCAGCCGCGGUAAUACGGAGGGCCCGAGCGUUAUCCGGAUUUAUUGGGUUUAAAGGGAGCGUAGGGGGGGGGUUAAGUCAGGUGUAGAAUUCGGCGGCUCAAACGGAGAAGGGCAUUUGAGACUGGAAGCCUGGAGUUCAGAACAGGCAGGCGGAAUUCGUGGUGUAGCGGUGAAAUGCAUAGAUAUCACGAAGAACCCCGAUUGCGAAGGCAGCCUGCCAAGGUGCGACUGACGCUGAGGCUCGAAGGUGCGGGUAUCAAACAGGAUUAGAUACCCCUGUAGUC
rnacentral:rRNA from 1 species